GACCUUCUGCAGUGUUCGAGGUGUUCUUUAUACGCUCUUUGCCUUUGAAACAUUCCGGGGGCCAUCAAACCGUGCGCACACAGCUAGGCCGUAAAUCGGACAGCUAACCAGCGCAUGGCGGCUCCCACCUUAACUUAAAAAGGUCAGAAGCCUUUGAGCAUACGGCACAAGCGGUAGGUCA
rnacentral:other from 1 species